GAUGAACGCUGGCGGCGUGCCUAAUACAUGCAAGUCGAGCGAACGGACGAGAAGCUUGCUUCUCUGAUGUUAGCGGCGGACGGGUGAGUAACACGUGGAUAACCUACCUAUAAGACUGGGAUAACUUCGGGAAACCGGAGCUAAUACCGGAUAAUAUUUUGAACCGCAUGGUUCAAAAGUGAAAGACGGUCUUGCUGUCACUUAUAGAUGGAUCCGCGCUGCAUUAGCUAGUUGGUAAGGUAACGGCUUACCAAGGCAACGAUGCAUAGCCGACCUGAGAGGGUGAUCGGCCACACUGGAACUGAGACACGGUCCAGACUCCUACGGGAGGCAGCAGUAGGGAAUCUUCCGCAAUGGGCGAAAGCCUGACGGAGCAACGCCGCGUGAGUGAUGAAGGUCUUCGGAUCGUAAAACUCUGUUAUUAGGGAAGAACAUAUGUGUAAGUAACUGUGCACAUCUUGACGGUACCUAAUCAGAAAGCCACGGCUAACUACGUGCCAGCAGCCGCGGUAAUACGUAGGUGGCAAGCGUUAUCGGGAAAUAUUGGGCGUAAAGCGCGCGUAGGCGGUUUUUUAGUCUGAUGUGAAAGCCCACGGCUCAACCGUGGAGGGUCAUUGGAAACUGGAAAACUUGAGUGCAGAAGAGGAAAGUGGAAUUCCAUGUGUAGCGGUGAAAUGCGCAGAGAUAUGGAGGAACACCAGUGGCGAAGGCGACUUUCUGGUCUGUAACUGACGCUGAUGUGCGAAAGCGUGGGGAUCAAACAGGAUUAGAUACCCUGGUAGUCCACGCCGUAAACGAUGAGUGCUAAGUGUUAGGGGGUUUCCGCCCCUUAGUGCUGCAGCUAACGCAUUAAGCACUCCGCCUGGGGAGUACGACCGCAAGGUUGAAACUCAAAGGAAUUGACGGGGACCCGCACAAGCGGUGGAGCAUGUGGUUUAAUUCGAAGCAACGCGAAGAACCUUACCAAAUCUUGACAUCCUUUGACAACUCUAGAGAUAGAGCCUUCCCCUUCGGGGGACAAAGUGACAGGUGGUGCAUGGUUGUCGUCAGCUCGUGUCGUGAGAUGUUGGGUUAAGUCCCGCAACGAGCGCAACCCUUAAGCUUAGUUGCCAUCAUUAAGUUGGGCACUCUAAGUUGACUGCCGGUGUCAAACCGGAGGAAGGUGGGGAUGACGUCAAAUCAUCAUGCCCCUUAUGAUUUGGGCUACACACGUGCUACAAUGGACAAUACAAAGGGCAGCGAAACCGCGAGGUCAAGCAAAUCCCAUAAAGUUGUUCUCAGUUCGGAUUGUAGUCUGCAACUCGACUACAUGAAGCUGGAAUCGCUAGUAAUCGUAGAUCAGCAUGCUACGGUGAAUACGUUCCCGGGUCU
rnacentral:rRNA from 1 species